rnacentral:rRNA from 1 species
CAGUAGCCGCGGUAAUGCGAAGGGUGCAAGCGUUAAUCGGAAUUACUGGGCGUAAAGCGUGCGUAGGCGGUGAGUUAAGUCUGCUGUGAAAUCCCCGGGCUCAACCUGGGAAUGGUAGUGGAUACUGGCUCGCUAGAGUGUGUCAGAGGAUGGUGGAAUUCCCGGUGUAGCGGUGAAAUGCGUAGAGAUCAGGAGGAACAUCAGUGGCGAAGGCGGCCAUCUGGGACAACACUGACGCUGAGGCACGAAAGCGUGGGGAGCAAACAGGAUUAGAUACCCGUGUAGUCCCUGUCUCUUAUAC